AUGGAGCUUCAAACACUUAAGCUAAUUUAUGUAAAAUAUUAUUUCCCAUGGGUAUAAACAUUUAUACUCUACUUCUAACUUAACUGUUUUCGGUUGGGGUGACCAAGGAGGAGAAGAAAGCCUCCUUAUCGACUGAGUAUUUAAUACUUAAAAAAUAGAAUAACAAUUCUAAUUAAUAAAACAUUUAUCGAAAAAUGACCCAGAAUUAAUCUGAUCAAUGAACCA
rnacentral:rRNA from 1 species